CUCCUACGGGAGGCAGCAGUGGGGAAUAUUGGACAAUGGGCGCAAGCCUGAUCCAGCAACGCCGCGUGGAGGAUGAAGGUCUUCGAUCGUAAACUCCUGUCAGAUGGGACGAAGGCUUGGUGGCAAACAGUUGCCAAGUUUGACGGUACCAGCAGAAGAAGCACCGGCUAACUACGUGCCAGCAGCCGCGGUAAUACGUAGGGUGCAGGCGUUAAUCGGAAUUACUGGGCGUAAAGCGUGCGCAGGCGGUCUAUUAAGACAGGUGUGAAAUCCCCGGGCUUAACCUGGGAACUGCGCUUGUAACUGAUAGGCUUGAGUGUGGCAGAGGGGGGUGGAAUUCCAGGUGUAGCAGUGAAAUGCGUAGAGAUCUGGAGGAACACCGAUGGCGAAGGCAGCCCCCUGGGCUAACACUGACGCUCAUGCACGAAAGCGUGGGGAGCAAACAGGAUUAGAUACCCUGGUAGUCCACGCCCUAAACUAUGUCAACUGGUUGUCGGGGAAGCAAUUCCUUGGUAACGAAGCUAACGCGUGAAGUUGACCGCCUGGGGAGUACGGCCGCAAGGUUAAAACUCAAAGGAAUUGACGGGGACCCGCACAAGCGGUGGAUUAUGUGGAUUAAUUCGAUGCAACGCGAAAAACCUUACCUACCCUUGACAUGCCAGGAAGCUUCCAGAGAUGGGAGUGUGCCCGAAAGGGAACCUGGACACAGGUGCUGCAUG
rnacentral:rRNA from 1 species